rnacentral:rRNA from 1 species
UACGAAGGGGGCUAGCGUUGUUCGGAUUAACUGGGCGUAAAGCGCACGUAGGCGGAUUAUUAAGUCAGGGGUGAAAUCCCGGGGCUCAACCUCGGAACUGCCUUUGAUACUGGUAAUCUCGAGUCCGGAAGAGGUGAGUGGAAUUCCUAGUGUAGAGGUGAAAUUCGUAGAUAUUAGGAAGAACACCAGUGGCGAAGGCGGCUCACUGGUCCGGUACUGACGCUGAGGUGCGAAAGCGUGGGGAGCAAACAGG